AAUUGCAAAAUUACUUACUGCCAUCGUAAAUGUUCAUAAAAUCUUAAUAGACAUUUUUAUACGGUCGUUGGUAUCAAGGUUCAGGGAGAACCCAUGAGUACGCGUGUACGAACGAUUUUCAUGAAUCAACUGCUGUCUAUAACUCAGCAGAUUUAAGGGGUUAGUGAGGUAAUGUCUCUUUAAAAGUUAAGCCCUAUAUCUGAAUUAAUCUUCAGUGAAUAACCUGUUAACUACACAACUGGAGUCACUCAGUCAGUAAACAACUAGAUAAAUCAAACUGUAAGACUAAUUCUAUAAUAACUAUAAUUAAGUCGAGACAUUGAAAAGGGUUUACACAUUUAAAAGAAAAGCUAUCCUAUUGUAAUCAAUACUACACAUUCGGAACACUAUUAGUCGCCUGUUAAACUAUCUGAUAACAAUAUAUCCAUCUACCAAAGCGCUGACCACUCAUAUUAUCUUUAUUUUAGUGUAAUUACCGCCACGGGUCGAAAAUUUGUGAGGUUCUAAUCAAGUUACCGGGGGCUAACCAAUGUCGAUAUCGUUUGAACUUUGAAAUUAGCAAAAUGCUCUAAAGCAAACCCAAAACUCGAUAUGGUGAAUUGCAAAUACUCUAUAGACUUUGGUAUAGGCAAGUCGUUUCCUUACGCUCUAUGGACUCUGCGGAUAGGAAAUGAAUGAAUGACUAACUGACAUUGAAUAUAUACAACUGGGAGAGGGUGUGAUCGGGAUCGGAGUGGUCGGUGUGGAUCGGCGCUUAUCUAAUCAAUGGAAAACCAAGUUGGUUAAGGAACUAGCAAGCAAGUGUUUAUGGCUGAUUGGUUUCACUUCAACGCCUCGUAUGAGCACAGCUGUGUGUGUGCACUCGGGCGAAGUCCUUACCCUUGGAAGAGUCAGGAUUAUCGCACUCUGGAAGGGAUUGCAGGGGAACUACUUCGCACGGACUAAACUCGCGAUCCGCACAACCGAGUAACAGCGUCUUCGAAGCGACGUGCGCGACUGGCGUCCAGUAAACAAACAGUGAUCCCAGCUAGCUCUGCUGCUGCAGUGCUGAAUGGCUACGAGUAUAUGGCCGUAUGGCUAUAUGGCGGUAGCAGUUCCCGUUCCCGUUCCCGCUCCCGAUCCCGAUCCAAUCCGAUCGCCCAGAAGUCGGAGAGUCGCUUCGUCGGCCCAGCUGACGACUCAAGGGCCACAAAGAACACGAUCGGCCGUCUCAACGUCAGCGUCAGCGGGUGUGCGUCGUGUAUCUCAGCUCCCAAGUGGGUGUGGGUGUGUGUGUGUGUGUGUGUGUGUGGAGCGCAGGCUUUAUCGAAGGCGCUCAGUGGUGGCAGCUGGCCCAAUCUUUGGCGGGAAAUAGCUUACAAGUAUAUAAUUCGAUUCACUAAAUUACUUUGUCUUACAUAUAUAUUGAUUGCAAACUGUUUUUAGAGUAGUAAACAACGUUAGCUGCUAAUGUGGCAAUCCAUUUGCACAUCUUUCAGUUUCAGAUGCUUGUAACUGCAUUUGUUAAAUAAACAUCUAAUGAGUCAUCUUAUCGAAAUAACUUACGUUAAAUGGCUUUGGUAUCUUAAGACUAACACUAUAAGAACCAGUUUAUUUUAGAGAAUGCUGUUGCUUUGACACACUAAACACAGUAAAAUGUACUUAAGAAACUGCCUUAUAAACUAUUAAACGUAGAAUAUUGUAUAUCCAGUUAUUGAUUUCCCUGCAGGUGAAAAUAGCUAGACUGCCAGCACUGGAACUCGAACCAAGAUCGUUCGGCAGUCGCUGCUCGCGUAUAUUUCGCAUUGGUUAUUAGUGUUUUGGCGUUGUUAUAUUGUCGUUUUCCUUCGCUGAUAAGAGUAGCUUACGCACACCAGCGCGCGUGGAUCACACACAGAUACUCACCUGUGGUAGCUGAUUGAGUUUUCGCUUUUUGGUUUUUUGGCGGCACGAUCUCGGCCCGAUUGCUCCGGUUGACAACGGUUCGUGCUCUGGAGUCACAAGUCCACCUAUCGAAUUUCUUCGACAGUCCAUAAUUGGCGUAUACGUAAUACGUAAUAAACAUGCCCGCGUCGCCGUCGCCGUCGCUUUCCUCAUUUUGGUUGAAUUCUGUGGCAAUGGCAAGGCAUUCUGAAACAAAAGCGAGCUCUAUUCGCGGACUGCAUUAUCGGGCCAGUUUACAAUGCCUAUAUAUUCACAACGGAUCCAUCAAUAGGCGGUCUGACUUGUUAAGGCUCUUUGUGGCUGCUCGUGAAUCAGAGUUACUUCACCGAUUAGCUUCCUUGUUCGCUGCUCAUCGAUCCCUUGUGGUUAAUUAGCAUUCGCGGAGCACUCAUUCUCUGAAUUUGUAGGACAAAGAGUUGGAUUUUAAGCUCUAAAGAGUAUCAGAGAAAUAGGACUUUAACUUUCAGAUAGCCAGUCUUAUACUUCCGAGAAUAUUGAGAUAUGGGAAGAUCCACCUGAAUACUCACCAGAUAAGGAUCUCCACCCAAGCCGCAUUGCUUUACCAACUUUGCAAAUCCUCCGAUGAAUGCUAAACAAAUUUCUCACACACCUGAAAUUUUGCUCAACCGGAUCGAAGACCAUAAUUGUAACGGUUCAGCAAGAUACAGGCGCGAAUGAAAUAUGCCGCCAAAGGACUUGGACACAACCAGGACAAAUGAAUCACCAAGUAGAUAUGACUAGCACUGGAACUGCGUGUGGCACUGGAACCGGGACCGCAACUUUUCCUGGCCACGCUCGGAUUCGAACUGAUGGCCAGAAGUCAGCGCCAGUCUGUAGGUAGCCACUUGUGAUCAACCCGGACCCGGGCGACCCAUCUAACUAUGUGAAAGCGCAUUAGAACUGGAGAAUCGACUCGACUCGGCGCAGAACAAAAGGAAGCGCUGACAAUGCCGGCUGCCUGGUUGGCUGAGUGCCUCGGUUGGGGUUGGCUGGCUGGCACUGGCAAUGGGAUUUGGGACUGGGACUGAUGGACAGACGGAACGGAGCAGACCGGCUGACUGGCUGAAUGGGUGGGUGGGUCACUAGCACCACUUGCAACAGCGGCGCAUGCUUUCUAAACGCCACCAUUAUCUAGUCGCUGUUGUUGUUGUUGUUGUUUUGGUUGUGGGACGCACCUUACUAAUACUUACCAAUACAAAUAGCCAAGUGGAAGCGGAGCGACAGCUGACACCAUCGGCGAACGCGCCUUUUUAACGAGCGACCAACGCGACCCCACCUAGUAUCACCCGACCCGGAGUGAUUACAUAGAGCCCAGAUGGAAUUGGAAUUGGAAUCGGCAGUGAAGACGGAGAUGCCUCUGCCCCCGAGGUCCUCAUGACGUGUGCCCGCCCAGAGACUGGGCUCGGACCUAUAGCAACCGCGGGAUCCUGGCAUAUAUCCUGCCAUUUAUACGCACCUCUAAAUAAAUGGGUUAAUGACUUGGCAAA